UAGCAAAUACGAUGACGGCCAUGGU
rnacentral:piRNA from 1 species